rnacentral:RNase_P_RNA from 1 species
AAGGUAAGACGAUCCACCGCGGCCGCAAGGCUGAGGAAAGUCCGGACAGGGUAGGGCACCCCGCUGUGGAAAGCACAGGCAGGAGUAAUCUUGGACAGGCUGUAACAGAAAACAACCGCCGGAAACGGUAAGGGUGAAAAUGUGAGGUAAGAGCUCACGACGGUGUGCAGCGAUGUAUAUCGGGUACGGCAUCGGGGCCUGCAAAACCAAAUAUACUGACAGAUGAGGACGGCCCGUCCGAUGUCAGGGGGUAGGUUGCGAAGAUAAAUGGUGGAUUUAAAAACAGAAACCGGCUUACGGCCUUGCCUUUUUU